rnacentral:rRNA from 1 species
AGCGAACGCUGGCGGCAGGCUUAACACAUGCAAGUCGAGCGGGCACUUUCGGGUGUCAGCGGCGGACGGGUGCGUAACGCGUGGGAACGUGCCCUCUGGUUCGGAAUAACUCAGGGAAACUUGAGCUAAUACCGGAUACGCCCUUUUGGGGAAAGGCUUGCUGCCGGAGGAUCGGCCCGCGUCUGAUUAGCUAGUUGGUGUGGUAACGGCUCACCAAGGCGACGAUCAGUAGCUGGUCUGAGAGGAUGAUCAGCCACACUGGGACUGAGACACGGCCCAGACUCCUACGGGAGGCAGCAGUGGGGAAUAUUGGACAAUGGGCGCAAGCCUGAUCCAGCCAUGCCGCGUGAGUGAUGAAGGCCUUAGAGUUGUAAAGCUCUUUUAUCCGGGACGAUAAUGACGGUACCGGAGGAAUAAGCCCCGGCUAACUUCGUG